CCUACGGGUGGCUGCAGUGGGGAAUAUUGGGCAAUGGGCGCAAGCCUGACCCAGCAACGCCGCGUGAAGGAAGAAGGCUUUCUGGUUGUAAACUUCUUUUAUCAGGGACGAAGCAUGUUACGGUACCUGAUUAAUAAGUCACGGCUAACUACGUGCCAGCAGCCGCGGUAAUACGUAGGUGGCAAGCGUUAUCCGGAUUUACUGGGUGUAAAGGGUGUGUAGGCGGGAGUGCAAGUCAGAUGUGAAAACUAUGGGCUCAACCCAUAGCCUGCAUUUGAAACUGGAAGUCUUGAGUGCAGGAGAGGCAAUCGGAAUUCCGGGUGUAGCGGUGAAAUGCGUAGAUAUACGGAGGAACACCAGUUGCGAAGGCGGAUUGCUGGACAGUAACUGACGCUGAGGCGCGAAAGCGUGGGGAGCAAACAGGAUUAGAUACCCCUGUAGUC
rnacentral:rRNA from 1 species